CUUUGCUGGCGACCGGCGCACGGUGAGUAACACGUAUCCAACCUGCCCUUUACUCGGGAGUAGCCUUUCGAAAGAAAGAUUAAUACCCGAUAGCAUAAUGAUUCCGCAUGGUUUCAUUAUUAAAGGAUUCCGGUAAAGGAUGGGGAUGCGUUCCAUUAGGUUGUUGGUGAGGUAACGGCUCACCAAGCCUUCGAUGGAUAGGGGUUCUGAGAGGAAGGUCCCCCACAUUGGAACUGAGACACGGUCCAA
rnacentral:rRNA from 1 species